GAUGAACGCUGGCGGCGUGCCUAAUACAUGCAAGUCGAGCGAACAGACGAGGAGCUUGCUCCUCUGACGUUAGCGGCGGACGGGUGAGUAACACGUGGAUAACCUACCUAUAAGACUGGGAUAACUUCGGGAAACCGGAGCUAAUACCGGAUAAUAUAUUGAACCGCAUGGUUCAAUAGUGAAAGACGGUUUUGCUGUCACUUAUAGAUGGAUCCGCGCCGCAUUAGCUAGUUGGUAAGGUAACGGCUUACCAAGGCAACGAUGCGUAGCCGACCUGAGAGGGUGAUCGGCCACACUGGAACGGAGACACGGUCCAGACUCCUACGGGAGGCAGCAGUAGGGAAUCUUCCGCAAUGGGCGAAAGCCUUACGGAGCAACGCCGCGUGAAUGAUGAAGGUCUUCGGAUCGUAAAACUCUGUUAUUAGGGAAAAACAAAAGUGUAAGUAACUAUGCACGUCUUGACGGUACCUAAGCAGAAAGCCACGGCUAACUACGUG
rnacentral:rRNA from 1 species